UUAGCCCUGAAAAUGGAUGGCGCUCAAGCGGGCAGCCGACACCACACCGUUUGUUUUAUAUAUAACAGAUGAGUAGGAGGGCGUGGUGGCCGUAUCGAAGCAUGCGUGCGAACGCUUGUGGAACGGCCACUAGUGCAGAUCUUGGUGGUAGUAGCAAAUAUUCAAGCGAGAUCCUUGAAGGGCGAAGCGGGGAAGGGUUCCACGCGAACAUUGAUUGGGCGUGGGUGAGUCGUUCCUAAGCCGAGUGGCCAUUGCUAAUUAUAGGCGAAAGGGAAGCGGGUUGAAAUUCCCGCACACGGAUGUGGAGGCGGUGACGCACAUUGAGACGAAAACAUCGGCGAUGGCGCUGGGCAGAGAUGUCUUUUCUGUUUAAUCAUUAUCAUGCUGUGUGGAAUCCGCUUGUCGGGAGAAACACGCAUGAAAGGUAAGAGCGCCGGGGCUUUUCCGGCGUCCAGCUCGCCAACGACGGUCCUUGAAAAUUUGUCUAAUGAUCAGAUCCACGCCGUGGCGUACCGAUAACCGCAUCAGGUCCCCAAGGUGAACAGC
rnacentral:rRNA from 1 species